rnacentral:misc_RNA from 1 species
GAUUGAAUAUGUGAUUAGUUGAUACAAAUCCAAAAUUGAAUCUAUCUGAUAUCUCCAGCAACUUUCAUUUCUGCUCUCGAAUUCUCAGCGAAUUUGAACCUCACACAUCCCCUCUAUGAUUUGCUGUCUUGCGGGUCCCAUCUCAACAACCCUCCACUUCCAGAAUGAUUUUCCUGCUCAUCUGUCCAUGUUUUGAACCAAAUUUUCGCUUUCAAUCUCAUUACAUUUCUCUUGCACACCCUAUAAUUGCCUAAUUACUAUCGACUCAAAUCUCCUUCAAUCACCAUUUUCGAAAUUGGGUUUGUUCAUCUCGCCUUUUCCUGCACUGGGUCAGUACUGUUUUGCACUAGAAAUCCCAGUUUGAUGAACCUUUUAAAAGCCGUUAGGUCUGUUGCAUUUUUGAGGCAAUUUAUCAAGCACUAAAAUGGCGUCUAUAGGUUCAGUUCGUUUUAUUAUCGAAACCAAAACAGAAAGUUCUGUCUUUCUCCAUGGCAAAAACCAACAGCGAUCCAGAUUUCCCGUUUUCGCAUAUAGACCAAAAAAUGCUUUUAAUUUUGCUGUUUCGUUAUCUUUGAGGUUCAAGCCUGUAAGAGCUACCGGUAAGGAAGAUAUUAGUGGUGAUGGGUCAGAGGAUACACUUCAAGCCACCAUUGAAAAAAGCAAGAAAGUUCUUGCCAUACAAAGAGACCUACUUCGGCAGAUUGCUGAACGAAGGAAAUUGGUUUCUUCCAUACAAAGUAGUGUUGGUGACCAUGAAGUAGACAGAACUUCUCAUGAACAGAGGGAGAACUCUUUGCCAAAUUCAGGUAAUACUUCAACUAUAGAUGUGAAUAUGCUUGAACAACAAAAUGGCGCCGUUCUUCCGAGUAGUGUCCAUGCAACUGCAGAUGAGGUACCAGAAACUUCAUCUUCAGCUAUUAGUGGAGGUCAUGCUAAAGUUGAAAAGGAACUUGAACAAAAUGUAUCUCCUACAACAGCUUCCUUUGUUAAGAAUUCAACCAAACUCUUAAAAGAGAUGAAUUCAGAAAAAGUUUGGUCAGAUGAGAUACCAUCUUUUCUUUCAAGCACCUCAGAAAUUUCCACUAUAAAUGAUGAAAAUAAUGGAGGUUCAAAUGAAUCAACUUCACCUAAGGUUGACAAUGUUGAAAGUGAUUCUAUGACUGAAGACACAAAACCACCUCCUUUGGCUGGGGCCAAUGUCAUGAAUGUUAUUUUGGUAGCUGCAGAAUGUGCUCCAUGGUCCAAAACAGGUGGCCUUGGAGACGUUGCUGGGUCUUUACCGAAGGCUUUAGCUCGGCGUGGACAUCGGGUUAUGGUUGUGGCACCUCGGUAUGGUAACUAUGCUGAACCUCUGGAUACUGGAGUUCGAAAGAGGUAUAAGGUGAAUGGUCAGGAUUUUGAAGUAUCAUACUUCCAAGCGUUCAUUGAUGGGGUUGAUUUUGUAUUCAUUGAGAGUCCUAUCUUUCGCCACAUAGAGAAUAAUAUAUAUGGAGGAAACAGAUUGGUAAUAUAACUUUCCUUCUCAGCUUAAACCAAAUGGUUGCACAUUAAAACUUCUUUUCCAUAUUUUAUCAAUAAAUCACUAUAACCUGUGCCACUUACAACUUUAGAUCUCUUCUUUAUCUUGAGUUCUUUAGGAGUUGAAUGUUAAUGACUUGCUGGAAAAAAGAGGCCCCAUAAGGCUUUAUCUCUUGAUUGGUGUAUCAUUUGUCGAAAGAAUAGUAUCAUUCACAUUUGCUUUGACAUUGUGACGUCACUUUCGUUAUCUAGAGCCAUUUAUUUGGGCCUGAGUGGAUUUGGAUUGGUCUAGACACCUUGGAGUUGUUGAAUUGAAAUGGAGAGGAUUUGGUAAUAGAAAGAAUGCCAAAGUCGAUUGGAUUUUUUUUUUUUUUUAGAGUAUUUGAAUGGAGAGAAAUGCCCACAGUUUUUACUGGCCUGACCUUUGCUUGCAGUUUGUUAUGGGACAAGGUGUUUUUCCUGGGUUCUUUGUGGGCUUCUGCUUCUGGGAAUUUUAGAGCAUUUUUAAGUACUACUCAGUACAAUUAGAGGGUACUACUUAAUUAGUUGUUAGCUUUCUUUAUUUAUUGCUAAGUUUAGGAGGUACCAUAACCUCCAAUUUGAAAUGCUUGUUUUGUUUUUAUCUCCUUAAUAAUAUUUCUUUUUCUUUCAAAAAAUUUUGAGUAUAUUGAUUUUUAUCAUGUGAUUAGCAUUUAAACUUCUUGAUUUAUUUUGAUCAGCUAAUCAUUGUAAAACUGAAGACUGCCAUCUCCUCGGUUUAAUGGUGCAGGAUAUAUUGAAGAGGAUGGUAUUAUUUUGCAAAGCUGCUGUUGAGGUUCCAUGGCAUGUCCCAUGUGGUGGAGUCUGCUAUGGGGAUGGAAAUUUGGCUUUCAUUGCAAAUGAUUGGCAUACAGCACUGGUGCCAGUGUAUCUGAAGGCAUAUUAUCGAGACAAUGGUGUAAUGCGAUAUGCAAGAUCUGUUUUCGUAAUUCAUAACAUUGCUUACCAGGUUUGUUCUCUGUUCAAUAUACUCCAAUAGUAAUGUGUUCAUCAAUAAGGCACUGAUAUUACCUGAACUAUUUCUUUCUUGUCUGGUUGAAACAAUUUUUUAAUAGUGCCUUAAUAACUGAAGGGGAAAUGUGCUUAACUGAGUUUUGUUUUGUCAACGGGCAUUAUCUAAGAAGUUUUUCUAUUCAUGCUAAAUUUGCACUUUAUUGCUAGUUGGCUUCCCUUACACAAUACGUCCUGGAGACAAGAAUCGUCAUGUGUUUGGGGAGCUGCAAAUCAUACCUAGCUAGUCAAUAAAGCAGCAAGACCUAAAAAAAUGUUGGACAAAAUUUUCAGGAUUGUACUGAAGAACAAUUUUCAAAAUAAAAUAGAGUUUUUGAUAUUAGAGUCAAUCUUCUUCAUCUAAUUGCACUUAAGAUCAUGAAUGUAUCCUUCAAUAAUAAUGUAGAAAAGCAACAUAUUGAUAAAGGCCUUGAUUAUUCAAAUUUUCUAAUCAGUUCUUGUACAGGUUUCACUUAUUUGUGAAAUUUUGUUGAGUAUCUGAUCGUAGACCUGACAUCAUGAGCAAUUCUUUGAACUUUGAAUUCAUUGAUAUAUUACCCAGGUCCCCUUAUCAUACAGAUCGAAACAUUUGCUAGUUUUGAACUUUGAACAUUUUGUAUUGUAUCUAGGGUCGGGGUCCUGUCGACGAUUUCUCUUAUAUGGAUCUACCAGAACACUACAUUGAUCUCUUCAAACUGUAUGACCCUGUUGGUGGUGACCACUUCAAUAUCUUUGCAGCUGGUCUUAAGACAGCAGAUCGUGUGGUUACUGUUAGUCAUGGAUAUGCCUGGGAGCUUAAAACAUCCGAAGGUGGUUGGGGUCUGCACAACAUCAUAAGUGAGAAUGACUGGAAAUUGAGGGGCAUUGUUAAUGGGAUUGAUGCAAAAGAAUGGAACCCACUGUUUGAUAUUCACCUGACAUCAGAUGGUUAUACUAAUUACUCCCUGGAAACACUUGAUACUGGCAAGCCUCAGUGCAAAGCAGCCUUACAGAAGGAGCUUGGUUUGCCCAUACGUCCAGAUGUCCCUGUUAUUGGGUUCAUUGGAAGGUUGGAUCACCAGAAGGGUGUUGAUCUCAUAGCUGAGGCGGUUCCCUGGAUGAUGGGUCAAGAUGUGCAACUGGUCAUGUUGGGUAGUGGUAGACAAGACUUGGAAGAUAUGCUUAGAAAAUUUGAAAGCCAACAUACUGGCAAAGUAAGGGGAUGGGUUGGUUUUUCUGUGAAGACGGCUCACAGGAUAACAGCCGGUGCAGAUAUUUUGCUCAUGCCAUCAAGAUUCGAACCGUGUGGGCUAAACCAGUUAUAUGCUAUGACCUAUGGUACAGUUCCUGUUGUACAUGCUGUUGGUGGACUGAGAGAUACAGUGCAACCUUUUGAUCCAUUUAAUGAGUCAGGGCUUGGGUGGACAUUUGAUAGUGCUGAAUCAAAUAAAUUGAUAAAUGCAUUAGGGAAUUGCUUGCUCACUUACCGACAGUACAAGAAGAGCUGGGAAGGACUGCAGAGAAGAGGGAUGACUCAAGACCUCAGCUGGGACCAUGCUGCUGAGAAAUAUGAGGAGAUUCUUGUUGCAGCCAAGUAUCAGUGGUGAGCGCGAGUGCUUUUCCACGUAGUCUGAGAUCCAAUUGACCCAAAUGCUAUUGGGGAGUGGACCUUUAUUUCUGGAAGAAUGCGGUUGAGAGAUGUUCUUCAACAGGUUGGUAUCUGAUGGUAGGAAGGGUCUAUCAUUUGAAUUGCUAGAAUAAGCAGGCCAGGUGACCUUUUAUGGUCUGCUAUAUAGCUCAUAUGUAAUCAACUUAGAAUCAGACUUCAGGAGUUGUAAUCCUUUCUGGUUUUGUCAAACAUCGGCAGAGCAUGGUUUUGGUUGUGGUGGCCUCCUUGUGGUUUAUAUUAUCUGAAACCUGGUAUCUUUUUACCCCUUAAACCUUGGAAUUGUAGGUAAAAAGGUAAUUCACUAGGCAUUGAAUAAGACAGUGGUGGAUCCCCAAUAUCAUUUAAAGGAAUUCUGAUCGAUUUAAUCGAGUAACGUGCUCUUUAUUUUGAAUCAUAAAUGAGAUAAUUAAGUGAAUUAGACAAUUCAAGUUAUUUUAUUUCUGGAAAACAAGUUUUUUACUCAUCCUUUAAAG